AACGAACGCUGGCGGCAUGCCUAACACAUGCAAGUCGAACGAGACCUUCGGGUCUAGUGGCGCACGGGUGCGUAACGCGUGGGAACCUGCCCUUAGGUUCGGAAUAACUCCCCGAAAGGGGUGCUAAUACCGGACAAUGUCUUCGGACCAAAGAUUUAUCGCCUUUGGAUGGGCCCGCGUUGGAUUAGCUAGUUGGUAGGGUAAAAGCCUACCAAGGCGACGAUCCAUAGCUGGUCUGAGAGGAUGAUCAGCCACACUGGGACUGAGACACGGCCCAGACUCCUACGGGAGGCAGCAGUGGGGAAUAUUGGACAAUGGGCGAAAGCCUGAUCCAGCAAUGCCGCGUGAGUGAUGAAGGCCUUAGGGUUGUAAAGCUCUUUUACCCGGGAUGAUAAUGACAGUACCGGGAGAAUAAGCUCCGGCUAACUCCGUG
rnacentral:rRNA from 1 species